rnacentral:lncRNA from 1 species
AUGUGGAGCCAGGUCGGGUGGACGGCAUUGGCCGCCAGCAGGAACCAAGCAGGAGAGCCCGGCAGCUGCGGAUCGGCAGUAGUGGGAGCCGUGUCCAUUGCUCUCCGACACGACACGGGCGGCAAGGAAGGAGGAGGAAGAGGGAACUCAGCGAGCGGUCUCGGGCCGGCCGAGGGCACCUGGAGCGUGGCAGGGGGAGCGGAGAGGGGCUGCGGGGCGCUCGCUCGUCUGCAGCUGGCUGGGGAAGACUGCUGAUCCCGGAAGCUUGGCCCGCACCCCACCCGAAGAAAGACUGCUAGGCCGGGAGGAAGGAGGACGAGGACGGUGAUGCUGCCCGGUCCUGCUCUCCCCGAGGUGGUUGGAAGGAGGGGUGAGGUAAGUGCCAGGCUCCGCCGCUCCAGUCAGGGACCUGAGACCGAGGUGUAAUCCCGAGCCAUGGCUGGCUUCGGAACACGGAGUGGGGACCGCAGAGCUGCUCCACAACGCCUCUGCAGCCGAGCCAGCUGUGUCCCAGAGACUCCAGCUCUGCCACGGUCCGCACGCACGCGCCUCCCCGCUCCACUGGCCAGGCAGGCAGUGCGAGUCUGCGCCUCCUCU